rfam:[Clostridium] sordellii strain JGS6382 genome assembly, chromosome: 1
GAUCUAUGAGUGAAUCUGAUAUAGAAGAAGAAAGAAGACUUUGCUAUGUUGGGAUAACUAGAGCUAAAAAAGAGUUAUAUAUGACACUUACAAAGAAA